GAGUUCCCCUCCGCGGUUGGGUUUCAAGCGCCUGCAGUGCAAUCACCAGCGAAAUGCGCAAAGAGAAGACCCAUGGAAGCAGAAAGGGAAGAGUAUCGUCGCAAUUAAGAUACGCCAAAGUACCGGAAAGCGGCACGCUGCAACUCUCAAAUGGAAAAUUAAUGGGCAAAGAAAUGGGAGAUAAACAGUUGCUGCUGAGGAUUUGUGCCGUUACUUUGCUGACAGCUGUACUGCUGUUGUCAUGCUCAAGGACGGCAGGCAGGGAGCCUCUCCACUGAUGACGGAUAUCAGAGCAGCUUAAAACAAGCAGCUUGAAGCACAUCGGAACAAAACGAUAAUGAUCAGGAAAGCCAAGAGCUCUGGAGUACCAGGACUGCCCUCUCAUACCAGAACUAGAUAAAUACCGGAGAGCACGGUGCAUGCUUUUGAAAAACAGCUGAACUGACUGCAUGGUGAACUUCCACUUGCUACGGUGAAGUGCUGGCUGGGGACGGGGAUCGUCGGGCCACAGCACAGGCUGCCCACGGACAGCAACGGGAGAUGAGGAAAGGCGUGCUCGUCGAAUUUGGCUCAAGGUAGACUUUCACAUUGGUUAUUCUCCCCAUGUUACGAGGAAGCUUUACUUCCUUAAACGGAACAGUACUGCAGAAAGCAAAGGGGGGCGGGGGGAGAUGUUAAAAUUCUGCGCAGCAUUUUGCACACCCCUUCAAGUAGCCUACUGAAGGGAGAAGCUUAUCCUUCUGUCCAUUCGAAUGGCGCUCUGCACAGGGAAGCUAAUCCUGGGUAAGCUAGGAUCUGAAUUUACAGCAAUCUGGCCGCUGAACGAGAACUUCUAAACUUGGCAUACUCAGUCCUGAACGAGAAGGACCUCCAGAAGUGUACUGGGCUACACCACGACAGAUAAAUGAUGCCACCAAGCACACGGUGCAGGCCAGCUCGGAUGAUGGAAAUUCUCAUCCCAGCUUCCUCUGCAUUCAGUUCCCCUGACAGAAAAGCUUUACACCCUCAGCUAGAUGAGGUAUGAAAGGACUUCACUGCAAGGUAAGAAAAAGGACCAAAAAAAAAAAACCAAA